rnacentral:rRNA from 1 species
AUUGAACGCUGGCGGCAGGCCUAACACAUGCAAGUCGAGCGAGAGGCGGACGGGUGAGAAAUGUAUGGGGACUGCACGAUAGAGGGGGGUAACUACUGGAGACGGUGGCUAAUACCGCAGACUGUCGCAUAAACCCUAUGGGAUUAGCUGGUAGGUAAGGUAAUGGCUUACCUAGGCGACGAUCCCUAGCGGGUCUGAGAGGAUGAUCAGCCACACUGGGACUGAGACACGGCCCAGACUCCUACGGAGGCAGCAGUGGGGAAUAUUGCACAAUGGGCGCAAGCCUGAUGCAGCCAUGCCGCGUGUAUGAAGAAGGCCCUAGGGUUGUAAAGUACUUUCAGUCGGGAGGCGUUACCGACAGAAGAAGCACCGGCUAACUCCGUGCCAGCCGCCGCGGUAAUUC